CACGAUGUGAUCCACCAGCCAGGAGGGACGCCAACAAGGCAUCCGAUAAGAUAAAUCUUAUAUAAAAUAUAGAUUUAUGAUAAUUAAGACUAAGCUAACAGAUGAGGAAUCCUAGUCAUUGGCCAAGCAUCAUUGAACCUAAUACAAGUUUCUGUGUAUUCAUUUGGGCCUAACUUGAGCAGGCAGCUGGCGUAAAGCACACACGUGGUGGUGGGGCUCAGGCAGUUUAUGGUGGAAAGAUUUAUCUUGAGCCUUCCUCAGACCAACAUCAACCCUGCUGGAGCAACUCCUUGAGCAGCCAAACCUUUGGAGGCCUCAACCUGAGAGACUAGAAAUAAAGAGUGAAGUCAGGGCCCUCAUCCAGUGCCUGAUGGAAGCAGAGGCAAACAUCCACAGAUAUACUGAACUGAACUCUAGAAACCUAGUUGCAGAAAGGGAGGAAUGAG
rnacentral:lncRNA from 1 species